UCCGAGCCUCCCCUCCAUCUGAGGGGCAUCGUCUCGGGUGCCCAUGCCCGCUCAGUGUGCCAUAUGGGAACUUGCGCCCGCCUCCACCACCCCCCAAAACCCAACCGUGCCCCCCCUUCCUCCGCCACUUUUUUUCUUUGCUCCCCUUCAUGGCGUCUUUCUCUUCACGCUGUUGCUUUCUUUUUAGGUUUGUUUUGUUUUUCAAGCCCAUUUCUUUUUUAAGGAAUAGUCAGAUGUUGAUGGCCUUGUUGGAAUGGACCAUUAACUAAGUGCCUAGCCACCAGUGCUCUGUCCUCCGCUAGACACACAGCCAUGUUAUUUCACAGAAGCCUUGACAGGAGACGAAAACGGCUGAGACUCCUCCAGCCGUAACCUGCAAAGCCCAACCAAAAGCGAACAUAAUGGAUAAUUCCUUCAGCUUGACCAAGGGAAAAAAAGUUUAAAAGUAAAAAAAAAAAAGAAAGAAAAGAAAAAAA
ensembl:lncRNA